GACGAGGGGUCCAAGCGUUUGUUCGGAAUUAUUGGGCGUAAAGCGGGUGUAGGUGGCUCUAUAAGUCAGGAGUGAAAGCCCUGGGCUUAACUCAGGAAGUGCUUUUGAUACUGUAGAGCUUGAAUGUGGGAGAGGAUAAUAGAAUUCCAGGUGUAGUGGUGAAAUACGUAGAUAUCUGGAGGAACACCGGUGGCGAAGGCGGGUCUCUGGGCAACAACUGACGCUGAGGAGCGAAAAGCGUGGGGGAGCGAACAGG
rnacentral:rRNA from 1 species